GACUUGUGACUAUACCUCCUUAUAAAAUUGAGGGAUUUAUAUCAAACCUCUUAAUCGCGAUUGUAAACUGGAAGUUAAAGACUCUAUUUAUGUGACUCUAUUCAAGAAUAUGGAUGUUGUAAGCCGGACAGGCAGAAAGACCGAGGUACGAUCCGCGAUGCCGGAACAGACAAAAUCCAGAAAAUGUAAACAAGCAAAUGGGAAGCCGAGACAGGCAGAAGGACCGAGGUACAAUCCGCGAUGCUGGUCAACCCGACCCUACAGACAAGUUAGGAAGCCGAGACAGGCAGAAAGACCGAGGUACGAUCCGCGAUGCUGGUCAACCAACUUGUAGAUCAAAAACUAUCGAGUGGAAAGUCAGAGACUGACCACUCUUGGUGGGGUAGAGCACACUUGACAUGGAGAAUUUGGGCAGGUUAUUAAUUUAUCUUGGGAGGUCUUCCCUAACGAGCGAC
rnacentral:misc_RNA from 1 species